GACGAAGGUGGCGAGCGUUGUUCGGUAUUACUGGGCUUAAAGCGUUUGUAGGCGGAAUGGUAAGCGUCUUGUGAAAUCCCUCGGCUCAACCGAGGAAUUGCUUGGCGAACUGCCUUUCUUGAGGCAAGCAGGGGUGCGUGGAACUCUUGGUGGAGCGGUGGAAUGUGUAGAUAUCAAGAGGAACGCCAGUGGUGAAAACGAUGCACUGGGCUUGUCCUGACGCUGAGAGACGAAAGCGUGGGGAGCGAACGGGAUUAGAUACCCGAGUA
rnacentral:rRNA from 1 species